rnacentral:rRNA from 7 species
UGCGACCCCAGGUCAGGCGGGGCUACCCGCUGAGUUUAAGCAUAUCAAUAA